rnacentral:rRNA from 1 species
UACGUAGGGGGCAAGCGUUGUCCGGAUUUAUUGGGCGUAAAGGGCUCGUAGGCGGUCCGUCACGUCGGGAGUGAAAACUCGGGGCUCAACCCCCGAGCCUGCUUCCGAUACGGGUGGACUAGAGGUAGGUAGGGGAGAACGGAAUUCCUGGUGUAGCGGUGGAAUGCGCAGAUAUCAGGAGGAACACCGGUGGCGAAGGCGGGUCUCUGGGCAACAACUGACGCUGGAGGAGCGAAAGCGUGGGGAGCGAACAGG